UGUUUGCCUCGCUCACUCCUAUGGUUAGCUCGCGGUUUUCGUCGAUGAUCGUCCCCGCUGGUAGUAAUGAAACGAUCAAUAAAGCGGGUGACCUCUUCGGCGUUAUCGGGUCCUUCUAGCUUUGGGGCACCAGAAAACCAAUACAUGCCAUGAGAGUGCGGCGAUUCUCUGUGCUAGAACUCGAUCCUCCAAUAAUAAUGGACGAGUCUUAACUCAUUAAUUGCCGGAACCUGUAGUCGAAGUACAGGGAGCACGUUACUGGGUCAGAUAGAAUUAAUCUAGCUUUUUUCGGCGCAAGAAAGAGCUGCUGCCUCUUCCUCAGUAAUGUCUCUGCUAUCCAAUAAAAGAGUUCGUUCCAUUUAGAUUCAGCAGCAGAGAGGGUUAUGAAGAAUGUAGGCAACCCAAAUUGUCUAAUCAUGGCAAUAAAUUUCUUUUUUUCUGCCUCCCAGUGUGCUGGAGCUGAACGAAGGCCUUUUAGAAUGUGAAAUCCAUCGUCAUGUUGUACAAGACUGUCAAUAAAUGAAUUAUCCCUCA